rnacentral:rRNA from 1 species
UACGUAGGGGGCAAGCGUUGUCCGGAUUUAUUGGGCGUAAAGAGCGUGUAGGCGGCCAGGUAGGUCAGCUGUGAAAACUCGAGGCUCAACCUCGAGACGUCGGUUGAAACCAUCUGGCUAGAGUCCGGAAGAGGAGAGUGGAAUUCCUGGUGUAGCGGUGAAAUGCGCAGAUAUCAGGAAGAACACCCGUGGCGAAGGCGGCUCUCUGGGACGGUACUGACGCUGAGACGCGAAAGCGUGGGGAGGCGAAC